rnacentral:rRNA from 1 species
UUUAUUGAGAGUUUGAUCCUGGCUCAGGACGAACGCUGGCGGCGUGCUUAACACAUGCAAGUCGAGCGAUGAAGCUCCUUCGGGAGUGGAUUAGCGGCGGACGGGUGAGUAACACGUGGGUAACCUGCCUCAUAGAGGGGAAUAGCCUUUCGAAAGGAAGAUUAAUACCGCAUAAGAUUGUAGUGCCGCAUGGCAUAGCAAUUAAAGGAGUAAUCCGCUAUGAGAUGGACCCGCGUCGCAUUAGCUAGUUGGUGAGGUAACGGCUCACCAAGGCGACGAUGCGUAGCCGACCUGAGAGGGUGAUCGGCCACAUUGGGACUGAGACACGGCCCAGACUCCUACGGGAGGCAGCAGUGGGGAAUAUUGCACAAUGGGGGAAACCCUGAUGCAGCAACGCCGCGUGAGUGAUGACGGUCUUCGGAUUGUAAAGCUCUGUCUUCAGGGACGAUAAUGACGGUACCUGAGGAGGAAGCCACGGCUAACUACGUGCCAGCAGCCGCGGUAAUACGUAGGUGGCAAGCGUUGUCCGGAUUUACUGGGCG